rnacentral:tRNA from 1 species
GGAGCCGUGGUGUAGCUGGUUAACAUACCUGCCUGUCACGCAGGAGAUCGCGAGUUCAAGUCUCGUCGGCUCCGCCA